ACUGUCUUCCACAAAACCCGUUCCUGGUGUCAAAGUGGUUGGGGACCGCCGCUUGUGAGAGAAAGGACACACUCACAGAAAAAAGGAAAGCUGUUUAUGAUCCAAUGAACUAAACAAAAAGCCCUGUCAAGCUGCCCAAUCAGCUAAGGAGAAAGACCCAGCACCUAUCAGAACAUCUAACACCUGAGGGAUACUCAGCAGAGGUGAGGAGCAUUUACUGACUUACAGGAGCCACAGGACAAGCAGGUGGUGGAAAGGGAAUGUUGCCAAAGGAAACAACACAAGAUAAGAGCUCAGUUACCAUAACAGCGUUGUUUUUGUGAACAUUCUCAUCAAAAGGGACUCUGAGUAUCUGCAGCAAAGUUCAGCUUAAAACCAGGAUGCCGAGUGCAAUCAAGAUGUCUGUUUUUGCUGAUUAACAUCACAAGUAUCUUACAUUUCACAAGGUCCCUGAAAGUCUUCCUUAAUUCAAG